AGGCUUAACACAUGCAAGUCGAGGGGCAGCGGGGGUAGCGAUACCCGCCGGCGACCGGCGCACGGGUGAGUAACGCGUAUGCAACUUGCCUAUCAGAGGGGGAUAACCCGGCGAAAGUCGGACUAAUACCGCAUGAAGCAGGGGCCCCGCAUGGGGGUAUUUGCUAAAGAUUCAUCGCUGAUAGAUAGGCAUGCGUUCCAUUAGGCAGUUGGCGGGGUAACGGCCCACCAAACCGACGAUGGAUAGGGGUUCUGAGAGGAAGGUCCCCCACAUUGGUACUGAGACACGGACCAAACUCCUACGGGGGGCAGCAGUGAGGAAUAUUGGUCAAUGGCCGAGAGGCUGAACCAGCCAAGUCGCGUGAGGGAUGAAGGUUCUAUGGAUCGUAAACCUCUUUUAUAAGGGAAUAAAGUGCGGGACGUGUCCCGUUUUGUAUGUACCUUAUGAAUAAGGAUCGGCUAACUCCGUGCCAGCAGCCGCGGUAAUACGGAGGAUCCGAGCGUUAUCCGGAUUUAUUGGGUUUAAAGGGUGCGUAGGCGGCCUUUUAAGUCAGCGGUGAAAGUCUGUGGCUCAACCAUAGAAUUGCCGUUGAAACUGGGGGGCUUGAGUAUGUUUGAGGCAGGCGGAAUGCGCGGUGUAGCGGUGAAAUGCUUAGAUAUCACGCAGAACCCCGAUUGCGAAGGCAGCCUGCCAAGCCAUGACUGACGCUGAUGCACGAAAGCGUGGGGAUCAAACAGGAUUAGAUACCCUGGUAGUCCACGCAGUAAACGAUGAUCACUAGCUGUUUGCGAUACAUUGUAAGCGGCACAGCGAAAGCGUUAAGUGAUCCACCUGGGGAGUACGCCGGCAACGGUGAAACUCAAAGGAAUUGACGGGGGCCCGCACAAGCGGAGGAACAUGUGGUUUAAUUCGAUGAUACGCGAGGAACCUUACCCGGGUUUGAACGCAUUCGGACCGAGGUGGAAACACCUUUUCUAGCAAUAGCCGUUUGCGAGGUGCUGCAUGGUUGUCGUCAGCUCGUGCCGUGAGGUGUCGGCUUAAGUGCCAUAACGAGCGCAACCCUUGCCACUAGUUACUAACAGGUAAAGCUGAGGACUCUGGUGGGACUGCCAGCGUAAGCUGCGAGGAAGGCGGGGAUGACGUCAAAUCAGCACGGCCCUUACAUCCGGGGCGACACACGUGUUACAAUGGCGUGGACAAAGGGAAGCCACCUGGCGACAGGGAGCGAAUCCCCAAACCACGUCUCAGUUCGGAUCGGAGUCUGCAACCCGACUCCGUGAAGCUGGAUUCGCUAGUAAUCGCGCAUCAGCCAUGGCGCGGUGAAUACGUUCCCGGGCCUUGUACACACCGCCCGUCAAGCCAUGGGAGUCGGGGGUACCUGAAGUCCGUAACCGAAAGGAUCGGCCUAGGGUAAAACUGGUGACUGGGGCUAAGUCAUAACAAGGUAGCCGUAAAGGG
rnacentral:rRNA from 1 species